GGGGGAUAUUGCACAAUGGGGGAAACCCUGAUGCAGCGACGCCGCGUGGAGGAAGAAGGUUUUCGGAUUGUAAACUCCUGUCGUUAGGGACGAUAAUGACGGUACCUAACAAGAAAGCACCGGCUAACUACGUGCCAGCAGCCGCGGUAAAACGUAGGGUGCAAGCGUUGUCCGGAAUUACUGGGUGUAAAGGGAGCGCAGGCGGACCGGCAAGUUGGAAGUGAAAACUAUGGGCUCAACCCAUAAAUUGCUUUCAAAACUGCUGGCCUUGAGUAGUGCAGAGGUAGGUGGAAUUCCCGGUGUAGCGGUGGAAUGCGUAGAUAUCGGGAGGAACACCAGUGGCGAAGGCGACCUACUGGGCACCAACUGACGCUGGGGCUCGAAAGCAUGGGUAGCAAACAGGAUUAGAUACCCUGGUAGUCCAUGCCGUAAACGAUGAUUACUAGGUGUUGGAGGAUUGACCCCUUCAGUGCCGCAGUUAACACAAUAAGUAAUCCACCUGGGGAGUACGACCGCAAGGUUGAAACUCAAAGGAAUUGACGGGGGCCCGCACAAGCAGUGGAGUAUGUGGUUUAAUUCGAAGCAACGCGAAGAACCUUACCAGGUCUUGACAUCCGAUGCAUAGCUUAGAGAUAAGUGAAGUCCUUCGGGACAUCGAGACAGGUGGUGCAUGGUUGUCGUCAGCUCGUGUCGUGAGAUGUUGGGUUAAGUCCCGCAACGAGCGCAACCCUUAUCAUUAGUUGCUACGCAAGAGCACUCUAAUGAGACUGCCGUUGACAAAACGGAGGAAGGUGGGGAUGACGUCAAAUCAUCAUGCCCUUUAUGACCUGGGCUACACACGUACUACAAUGGCGUUUAACAAAGAGAAGCAAAGCCGCGAGGCAGAGCAAAUCUCCAAAAAACGUCUCAGUUCGGAUUGUAGGCCGCAACUCGCCUACAUGAAGUCGGAAUUGCUAGUAAUCGUAGGUCAGCAUACUACGGUGAAUACGUUCCCG
rnacentral:rRNA from 1 species